rnacentral:rRNA from 1 species
GACGAACCGUGCGAACGUUGUUCGGAAUCACUGGGCUUAAAGGGCGCGUAGGCGGACAGUCAAGUCAGGGGUGAAAUCCCACGGCUCAACCGUGGAAGUGCCUUUGAUACUGACAGUCUCGAGGGAGGUAGGGGCGUGCGGAACUUCCGGUGGAGCGGUGAAAUGCGUAGAUAUCAGGAGGAACACCGGUGGCGAAGGCGGGUCUCUGGGCAGUAACUGACGCUGAGGAGCGAAAGCGUGGGGAGCGAACAGG